rnacentral:rRNA from 1 species
AACGAACGCUGGCGGUAGGCUUAACACAUGCAAGUCGAACGCCCCGCAAGGGGAGUGGCAGACGGGUGAGUAACGCGUGGGAAUCUACCUAGUUCUACGGAACAACUGAGGGAAACUUCAGCUAAUACCGUAUACGCCCUACGGGGGAAAGAUUUAUCGGAAUUAGAUGAGCCCGCGUUGGAUUAGCUAGUUGGUGGGGUAAUGGCCUACCAAGGCGACGAUCCAUAGCUGGUCUGAGAGGAUGAUCAGCCACACUGGGACUGAGACACGGCCCAGACUCCUACGGGAGGCAGCAGUGGGGAAUAUUGGACAAUGGGCGCAAGCCUGAUCCAGCCAUGCCGCGUGAGUGAUGAAGGCCUUAGGGUUGUAAAGCUCUUUCAGUGGGGAAGAUAAUGACGGUACCCACAGAAGAAGCCCCGGCUAACUUCGUGCCAGCCGCCGCAGUAACAC